rnacentral:RNase_P_RNA from 1 species
AUAGGUAGUUGCUGGUGGUGUAAACCACGAGAGGAAAGUCCGGGCUGCAAGUGAGACAGGACUCCAUCUAACGGAUGGCCAGAGUAAUCUGAGGGCAAGUGCAACAGAAAGUAAACCGCCAAGCUUUGCUUGGUAAGGGUGAAAGGGUGGGGUAAGAGCCCACCGGUGCCUGUGGUAACAUGGGCAGCCAGGUAAACCCUGUCCGCAGCAAGAAGUAUAUGGUAUAAGUCUCACAAGCUGUUAGAUCAGCACUCAUACUUCGCUUGAGCGUAUUGGCAACAAUACGCCUAGAUAAAUAACUACCCACGACAAAACCCGGCUUAUCGUUGCA